rnacentral:rRNA from 1 species
GAUGAACGCUGGCGGCGUGCCUAAUACAUGCAAGUCGAGCGAACAGACGAGGAGCUUGCUCCUCUGACGUUAGCGGCGGACGGGUGAGUAACACGUGGAUAACCUACCUAUAAGACUGGGAUAACUUCGGGAAACCGGAGCUAAUACCGGAUAAUAUAUUGAACCGCAUGGUUCAAUAGUGAAAGACGGUUUUGCUGGCACUUAUAGAUGGAUCCGCGCCGCAUUAGCUAGUUGGUAAGGUAACGGCUUACCAAGGCGACGAUGCGUAGCCGACCUGAGAGGGUGAUCGGCCACACUGGAACGUAGACACGGUCCAGACUCCUACGGGAGGCAGCAGUAGGGAAUCUUCCGCAAUGGGCGAAAGCCUGACGGAGCAACGCCGCGUGAGUGAUGAAGGUCUUCGGAUCGUAAAACUCUGUUAUUAGGGAAGAACAAAUGUGUAAGUAACUAUGCACGUCUUGACGGUACCUAAUCAGAAAGCCACGGCUAACUACGUG